UUUUCCGGUUGAUCCUGCCGGACCCCACUGCUAUCGGGGCGAGACUAAGACAUGCUAGUCGAGCGUUUCCAAGCCAUGGUGGAGACACGGCGCACAGCUCAGUAACACGUGGCUAACCUACCCUUAGGACGCGAACAACUCCGGGAAACUGGAGACAAUUCUCGAUAGGUGAGGACUCCUGGAAUGGAUCUUCGCCCAAAGAGUGUUUAGACCAUGCUUCAAAGCACUGCCUAAGGAUGGGGCCGCGGCCGAUCAGGUUGUUGGUGAGGUAACGGCUCACCAAGCCUUUAACCGGUACGGGCCGCGAGAGCGGGAGCCCGGAGAUGGGCACUGAGACAAGGGCCCAGGCCCUAAGGGGCGCAGCAGUCGCGAAAACUCCGCAAUACGCGAAAGCGUGACGGGGUCAUCCCGAGUGCCGUCCGCUGAGGAUGGCUUUUCCCCAGUGUACACAGCUGGGGGAAUAAGGAGAGGGCAAGUCUGGUGUCAACCGCCGCGGUAAUACCAGCUCUCCGAGUGGUGGGGACGUUUAUUGGGCCUAAAGCAUUCGUAGCCGGUUGGGCAAGUCUUCCGUUAAAUCCAGCGAUUUAAUCGUUGGACUGCGGGGGAUACUGUUCAGCUAGGAGUCGGGAGAGGCCGACGGUAUUCUCGGGGUAGGGGUGAAAUCCUAUAAUCCCAGGAGAACCACCAGUGGCGAAGGCUGUCGGCUAGAACGCGCUCGACGGUGAGGGAUGAAAGCUGGGGGAGCGAACCGGAUUAGAUACCCGGGUAGUCCCAGCAGUAAACGAUGCAGGCUAGGUGUUAGGGUGGCUACGUGCUGCUCUAGUGCCGCAGGGAAGCCGUUAAGCCUGCCGCCUGGGGAGUACGGCCGCAAGGCUGAAACUUAAAGGAAUUGGCGGGGGAGCACCACAAGGGGUGAAGCUUGCGGUUUAAUUGGAGUCAACGCCGGAAAUCACUAGU
rnacentral:rRNA from 1 species